UAUAGGGUGCCUUAGACAACGG
rnacentral:siRNA from 1 species